rnacentral:sRNA from 1 species
GAUACAUAAAACGACAAAAGCCCUUCCUUCUCUUUCGUCCUUGCGGUCCUUAAACCGCUCCAGUGUGAAUUGAUCUACUGCUGUAUCU